GCAUCCAUGGCUGAAUGGUGAAAGCGCCCACCAACCUAGAAAGGAAAAAUGGGUCAAAAAGUAGGUUCGAUUCCUGCUGGAUGCA
rnacentral:tRNA from 1 species